rnacentral:rRNA from 1 species
CACUUCUAAGGAAGGCAGCAGGCGCGCAAAUUACCCAAUCCUGAUACAGGGAGGUAGUGACAAGAAAUAACAAUAGACGGGACUAUUGUUCUGUCUAAUUGGAAUGAGUACAAUUUAAACAACUUAACGAGGAUCCAUUGGAGGGCAAGUCUGGUGCCAGCAGCCGCGGUAAUUCCAACUCCAAUAGCGUAUACUAAAGUUGUUGCAGUUAAAAAGCUCGUAGUUGGAUUUCUGUGGGGACGGAGCGGCCGGCCGCAACACGCGGUUCGAGCUAGCGCUUUCCCUACAUCCUGCCGCGAACCGUGCUACCAUUAGUUUGGUGGCGCCGGGGAUCGGCUCGAUUACUUUGAGAAAAAUAGAGUGUUCAAAGCAGGCCACAUGCCUUGAAUAAGUUAGCAUGGAAUAAUAACUAAAGACUUCGGUUCUAUUUUGUUGGUGUUCGGGACUGAAGUAAUGAUUGAUAGGGACAGUUGGGGCGGUCUGUAUUCCAAAGCGAGAGGUGAAAUUCUUAGACCUUCGGAAGACAAACAGCUGCGAAAGCGUUCCGCAAGGAUGUUCCCUUUGAUCAAGAACGAAAGUUGGGGGAUCGAAGACGAUCAGAUACCGUCGUAGUCUCAACUAUAAACUAUACCAGCUAGGGAUCGGCCAACGUUAUUUCAUACCGACUUGGUCGGCACCUUAUGAGAAAUCAAAGCAUCUGGGUUCCGGGGGGAGUAUGGUCGCAAGGCUGAAACUUAAAGGAAUUGACGGAAGGGCACCACCAGCCGUGGAGCCUGUGGCUUAAUUUGACUCAACACGGGAAAACUUACCAGGUCCAGACAUAGUAAGGAUUGACAGAUUGAUAGCUCUUUCUUGAUUCUGUGGGUGGUGGUGCAUGGCCGUUCUUAGUUGGUGGAGUGAUUUGUCUGGUUAAUUCCGUUAACGAACGAGACCCCAGCCUGCUAAAUAGCGCGCGUGAGCUUUGCUCGCGGCGAGCUUCUUAGAGGGACUCUGAUGCGCGAUAGCACAUGGAAGUUUGGGGCAAUAACAGGUCUGUGAUGCCCUUAGAUGUUCUGGGCCGCACACGGGCUACACUGGCGCCUGCAACGAGCAUAUCAGCUGGCCCGAGAGGGUCUUGGCUAAUCUUUUGAACCGGCGCCGUGCUUGGGAUUGACCUUUGCAAUUGUUGGUCAUGCAACGAGGAAUGCCUUGUAAACGCGAGUCAUCAGCUCGCAUUGAAUACGUCCCUGCCCUUUGUACACACCGCCCGUCGCUCCUACCGAUGAAUGUUCCGAUGAAAUUUUCGGAGAGCACCUGUGAACUUGGCUCCGCCUUGCGAACGGGAGGCUCAAAGUCACUUAAAUCUGAACAUUU